AGGGUAUAGAUGCAUUAUUAUUUGUUGCGUUUUCUACUGGUUGGUGUAUCUUGUAUUGCAACGAAACAGAUUUGUUGAUUCUCUCAUUUUGCUGCAGUUCUGGUGAUGGUUAGGCUGGUUCAGCUUUCACCUGAAAACUGUUUAUCUCAGAUUGACAAUGAGCUUUCACCUGAAAACUGUUUAUGUCAGAUUGAUAAUGAUAUUCUGCGAGUACUUUGUUUACAGUAGGAUCUGAGCAAUAUCACACUGCCUAUUUUUAUCAGAAC
rnacentral:lncRNA from 1 species